rnacentral:snRNA from 1 species
GGAUAUGGGGAUGAACUGGAUUCGGUAUCUGUCACCUCAUUUAGCCCCAGGGUCAAUCUAGCUGAUCUGNCUGGCUAGGCAUGUGUCCCCUUCUUUCCUCACCACUCUAGGUAUAUUCCUUCUGAAGCUGUGUGCUUGAUUGAAAAGGAUGGCCUUCUCCAAUAAGGAUGGCUGAUCUUAGGUCAAGGGCAUACAAGUGGAUACGCUCUUUUGCUAGAACCUCUGAAUAAGCUCCCACAAUCCUUGAGGUAGCUGUUGAAGUGCUUGGUGAACAUCUCUGACACAACUCCCAGUGAACACACACAGAAGUUUCUCCCAGG